rnacentral:lncRNA from 13 species
GGGGAAGGCCAAGACGCCCCUGCCCCAACCUCCAUAACCCUCUGUUUCCCACUCUCUGUAAAGAGAAGACAGGGUUAGUACAUCAAUAAGGAAGAAGCAGACAGGGUGGGCAGUUAAGUUUCCAGCAGCAAGUCUCAAGGAGAGGUUAGGAGCAAGUAUAUCAAGGAAGGGGCAGAGGGAGCACCAUGCCUGAAAGCCAGGGAUGCAGUUAGGUGUUGGGGUCAGAGACAAGGCAGCUAUGAAUUUUGGAGAGUGGCUUCCUUUUUGGUCAGGAUUAGCUUAGACUUGAUGUGGCUGAGCCUGUAGGUCAGGCAUCUGUAGGACCUAUAGUUGAAAAGCCAAAGAAAAGCUAGGGGCUCAAAUAACUUGUCCUAGUUGUUUUAGGUAAUGUGAGAUCCUCUGUCUCCUCCUCCCUCCUUGUUUGCCCCUGUUGUUGACAGGGUAAGGAUGGCAUUCUACACAAUGCUGCUUUGUCCUUCCCCUUCCUACCCAUGUUCGGAGUGAGUCUUUUAGCAAAGUGGCCUACUAAGUUAUGCCAUGCAAGGAGGUCAAUGUUAAAAAGAAAGAAGUUUGUUCUGUAGCUGCCCAACUCUGAAGAAUUUGAUUUUUCUCCAGGUAUGAAAACACCUGCAAUGCAGCCACAAAGGGGUCUUGGAUUUAGAAGUGAGAGGGGGAGGGAAAAAGGGAAGAGGAGAGACUGACAGAGAGGAACGCCUGGCUCCUGGGUGAGGAUAACUUGGUUUUGGACUGAAAGGCAAGAAACUAUGAAGAAAUGUCUGUGUUAUUCUGCAGAUUCUGGGUCCUUCUGGAUUCUUCUUGAUAGUAGAAUGAGCUUUCUAGACUCUACAGUAAGUUAAAGGUAGCUUCAAUUUUUCUCAUUUAUGAGUGGGUUUACUAAAAAGAUCUCAGACUUUCUCUUUCUAACCUCCUACCCUUCCAUAUUUUUCUCCUUUUACCUAGGGGUACCUUUUUUCACAUUCACCAUUAAAGUUCUGCAGCCAGUGAAAUUGCCCAAUAUGCUGUCCCAGGCUCAUAUAGGACAGUAUAUGAGUGAGUCAUUAACAACACAUGGAGUUACGCAUUCUUGCUCCUCCUUCGUCUGGUGCACCCCACAUCUGUGAAUGGAAAGUGUCUACAGGACUGUGGUACUCUCUGGAUGAAUCCCACUGCUCUUCCGUGGAGUUGCUUCCGGUGGAGGGCAGUCAACACCAUCAUUCGAGAUGCUCAGCACAGUAAGCCAGAGAAAUGAAGGAGAUAAAAAAAAAAACGGACGAAUCAGAAAUCUAUCCUCAAAAGAUGAUCUUUUAGGGAAGGAGGAUGGCUUUUUGAUUAAAUUCCAGAAUUUCAGAGUCCUUUGUCUCAUAUUCGGUGUAAAGGCCUUCAAAUGAAUGGCCAUAGGAAAAGUCUUUGUUGACUCUUUUGCUUGAUAUUUCUGCCUUAAAAAUGUCAACAACCCUGUAUGAUCUGCACAUGUACACAGAACCUAAAGUACAAUUAAAAAAAGGCAGCUAUGACAAAUAUCAGC